GUGCCAGCCGCCGCGGUAAUACAGAGGGUGCAAGCGUUAAUCGGAAUUACUGGGCGUAAAGCGUGCGUAGUCGGCUUUUCAAGUCGGGUGUGAAAGCCCCGGGCUCAACCUGGGAAUUGCAUUCGAUACUGGAUCGCUAGAGUUCGGCAGAGGGAAGUGGAAUUUCUGGUGUAGCGGUGAAAUGCGUAGAUAUCAGAAGGAACAUCAGUGGCGAAAGCGACUUCCUGGACCAGAACUGACGAUCAGGCACGAAAGCGUGGGGAGCAAACAGGAUUAGAAACCCGUGUAGUCC
rnacentral:rRNA from 1 species